UCCUCAUCAGGCUAAACUGAAGAAAGACACUAAGAACCUACUUAAUAUCAGAGUCUUGGAAAAUAAAGUGAAGAGACCCAGAUCGAAUCCCGCCAUCACGCCUUAGUUUGCAGAGAGCACUGGGGAAAUCGCUUUCUUCUCUCUGGAUGACAGGAAUAAACCUGGUGUACAAACUUUUUGAGGCGAUGAAAACAAGAUGUGCAUCAAGGAAUUCUUUCGUGACGCUAAAGACCAGAGGAGACACUGAAAGAGGAUUCACAGAUGUGGAGAGAGGAAGCAAAUGGGAUUCCCCUACUGCAGUGAUCAGAGUAUAAGCCACAGCCUGGAACACUCAUCUGAGAACAUCAGAACAGAGAAGGAAAUAUUUCUUCCCAACAGAGAAGGCACAUGGGUUCAGGCUCAUAAGGAAAGGAGAUCUCCCACUUGAUUCACCUUCUGAGAAGCAGUUAAGUAUCACUGAUGGAGUUUCUGAACAGAGCACAAAAAUGUUUCCGCCCUUAAAGCAAAGAAAUGUCACAGAGAGUCUCUAGAGAGUCUGAGGCACUCUGGGUUCCUGAUUUUUCUCUACACAUAACUACUAUUCCAAAAACUAUUUUUGAAGUCAAAUAUCAGAAGCGGCCAUCAGGAAGCUGCUUUGGGGAUUCCUUUAAUCCACAGGGUCCUGUAAAGCCCUUCACACAGGGACCAUCCCUGAGAGGGAGAUGGGGGGUGUUUAGAGUCCAAAUUGGGAAUCUCCUAGAAAUCGGUGAACGCCCAAAUCAAUUCUUACCUAAAUGACUGAAAGGAAAAAUGUGGGCUGUGUCCAUUAUUUUCAGCUGGCAAAGGUCUCAGGGGCUUCUAAUAUCUUCUUGGCCCCACGGCAUGUACAUAAUACUACGGUUCCCAAUUGAUUUAUUAAUGUCAGAGUGUCAACUCUAUUGUGAUUCAGGUAGGAUAUGUGUGUAUUAUGUCCAUAUGAUUUUGUAGUAUGAAUUGUGCUUGUGUAAUGAUUAUCGUCAUUAUAUUUUGUCUUAGAUAUGAAUUCUUUAUUUAAAAUAUUGAAUCAUUCUCUUUAAAAUAUUUCUCAAAGCAUUCCUUUAUCACUAAAUUUCAUUUGGCAAUGCCCAACAUUUCUUGUAGAAAGCGAGUAAUAAGUGAAUUUCUGUUUCUUUAAUUGUGAUUAGCAGGAUUAAGAUGUGAAAUUUAUUUCAAGUGGAAUAAUCACGUGUUCAUAACUUUAAAAUAAUCUCAGACUUUUAUAAGCCCUCACUGAGUCUCUUAGCUGUAAUUAAAUUUCUAUUUAUGUAAAAUUAAAAUUGGUCAAAUAAAACUUUUGAAGAUCUGCCAAAAUCUGAAUUAAAUGAGGUGGGAUCAAAAUUACUUAAGACAGUAGACAAAUGUAAAAUAAGAAAAAUAGAGUGUUUUAUUGAUGCUCUGUCAUCAAAUGAAAUAAUUGCUUUGAGAAUGUCACUUUUCUGAAAACAGAUGUGAUAUUUUCCCACUGAAGUUUUGGCUAGAGUAACAUUUUUAA